UGAAACCGUUUAGGGGUAAACCUGAGAAACCCGAAAGGUCGAAGGAAGAAAUUCAUUCGCGUUUCGUCGUUGGCAACGAGUGGAAUUGUGUGACAUACAAUAACGUUUCGGCGUUAAAGUUUGCGCCUUCUAUUUGUUGAUCCAAUGGUGAACGUGUGCACUUUUCUUCUGGUAGGACGUCGCGAUUCGUUGAGUGCCGGUUUACGAUUUGCGGUGUAGUCCAUUCGUCACGUGUUAAAGCGUAUAAGAUGUUUGAACCCGUAAAAUUCCAGCCGGCUUGCUCGACGAUAUGCAAACGGUUUAGAGCCGCUUUUAAGCGUUCGAUUCUAAGCAAGCGCGCUAGUUGAUUCGCGGCAAUCGGACCUAGUGCCGAUUCUGCGCUCUAGUGACUGUUGGCUUGGAUAAUCUCGAACAGACUCUUAAAAUUGUAAUAAAAACCGAUCUGCGGCGCUAUAGCUUUGGGUAAUUUCAGGACCCGUCUUGAAACACGGACCAAGGAGUCUAGCAUGUACGCAAGUCAUUGGGAGCGACUAUACCUAAAGGCGAAAUGAAAGUGAAGAUCUUUUUUGCAAAGAUCAAGGGAGGAUAAAUGGUGAGAAGAAACUGUUUCGCACUCCCGGGGCGUUUCAUUCUCAUUGCGAGAAGAGGCGCACCAAGAGCGUACACGCUGGGACCCGAAAGAUGGUGAACUAUGCCUGGUCAGGAUGAA
rnacentral:rRNA from 1 species